UCCUCGGUAGCUCAGUUGGUAGAGCAAGCGGCUGUUAACCGCUGGGUCGUAGGUUCGAGUCCUACCCGGGGAG
rnacentral:tRNA from 1 species